AACCCAUGAUAAGGACAUUUCUUAAGCAAAUCCUUAUAACUUUCCCAAGCCUUAUAUAGUGAUUUAAAAUUGAAUUAUGUAAAAUAGGUGAUAUCAUUUUGCAUCU
rnacentral:snoRNA from 1 species